UCAUGGUUUCUCAUGAACCUUCACAAAGCGAAUCAUCUGCUGCUGCACCAUUAGUAUCAUCUGGUCUUGAUGCCUGUGAUGGCCCCAGCAAUUCAAGUCAAACACUUGGUGUUGGUGAGAGUUCAAGGAAACAAAUAGGAAGCAGUAAGAGUCCAGAGAAUGGUUCUAAAGCCAAAGGUACCAAGUUCACUCUUAUUACCAACAUGCUCAGAGUACCGGAAAGCUCAAUAUUUUUCAUUUAUCAUGCACAUUACAGCCAUAUUUAGUUACUACUCUUAUUAAAGUGAUUUUCCCACAUGGAAAGUGAAAAUAUAUUCUAAUUUUUAUUUCUAAAUUUAUAUGUUUUUAUACAUAAAAACAUAUGAAUGAUUGAAAAUGAAAAUAAUGUUUGAAAAAUGAUGCUCUAAAUUUUGAAAAUUAUUUGCAAAUAUACUUGAGUAUAACAAGAGAUACAUACCACUGCACAUGAUUGUAUGUUAUAAAACAUAUGAAUUUAGAAAGUUAAAAUUAGUACAUAUUUUCAUGUACAACUGGAAUCCUAAUUUUUAACUAUGUUCAAAAUUUUAAAUUAUAAUUUCAAAUAAAUUCUAAUAGUAGUUUGUUUGUAUCUCAACAAACAUCUUAAUAUUUUUUUUCUAAAAAAAAAAAUAAAUUUUCAUUCUCAAAUUAUUAAUUUUUAUGGAACUAAAAAUAUAUUAUUUCAUUUGAAGAACUUCAGAAAUUAUGUUUGAAUGAAAAAGGAUAGAAUGCAUUAAUUCACAGGAGAAUGACAAUUGAUGAUUGACUGUUUUAAUGUUGUAUGACAUCAAAUAUCAUAAAAGCUUUUCUAUGAAAUCAUUAAACUUCAUGUAAAUUUCUAUUCUUUGUCCAAACUACAGAUCUUAGAGACCGGAUAAUUGACAAUUUGAAGGAGGAUAAAAAGGUAGUCUUCUUUCUUGCUACAUAGUCUAUUUUGUUGAAACCCUGAACCUUGGAGAAGUUUACAUAGUUUCUGUAUUGGCUGACUACUUGGAAAUAAUAACAGAGGAGAAAUCUAGCCCGAUAUGGAUCUGUGGCAUCUGCUUGUUCAGGUAAUACUUUUCUGCUUAAAAGUUGUCCAUUAUUAGCAAGUGACUUACUUGUUCUAUGCUCUGGAGCGAUACAGACCUUAGUAACUGAUUCAAUAGAGGAAUAUGCUUAUGAACUGGAUCAAAAUUAAACGCUGACAAUACAACAUAAAUGUCCCCAGCAUAAUAUGUUGUAAAAAUAAAGAAACGAUUGUUACCUGUGUUCUCCUUCAUGCCAUUCCACUUAAGACACUGAAUAUAAGGUCACAAUAUGUUUCCCAUUAGUCUGGAUGCAAACAGAAGGGGAGAUUGUUACCUAGUUCUUCUUCAUGCCAUCCCACUACUAAGAUAUGGAAUAUAUUUUGACCUACUUCUGAUCAAGGGUCAAAAUGUAUUUCCCAUUAUCUUGAAUGUAAACAGAAGUGUUUUUCGGAUGCCUGGUGGAGAUAGAUGAGUUGGGAAUUGGAGACAAAGAAGAAUUCAUGGAAUAACUUGUUAAAGGAAUCACUUGGUUGACUCUGAUAUAAUGUAAUUUUUAAUGGUAGAUUCACGCACUGCCUUUAUUUAUUUCAUAACAGUAUAUGCACGAGAAUUUCACCUUUAAGUGGAACAAUGGUAAAAGAAAGUACGUCUCAAUUACUAACAUAAAAUAUAUCCUAUCACUUUAUAUUAGUAAUAAGAUGGAAAAAUAUUCUUAGAUGGUUUAGCAACACUGAUAUUGAGAUGAAAGUUUCAUCUGCCAAUCCACUAUUUAUGGACUUGUAUAAAUUUUGUUAAGGAGUUAUGAUAAAACCCCAUCCAGAAGAUCUAGCCGGGUGCCUAUCAUGAAUCCUAAGUAACCCCAGUAACUGCCACUACCAGCAAAAGAAGCGGUCAACAAAAAAUCAUCAGUGAAUCCCACGACUCCACGAUCUGCUCUUCCACAAAUCCCAAUAUCUCUUUGCUUUUAUCUCUUUGAAUUUCUGAUAAUUAUCUAGAAGCAUAAAAGUAGGAAAUGCAAUUGUAAUCUUUUUCUAUUUAAGUACUUCAAAAUCAUGAAUAAAGAUAUAGACAUUUGCAGAAUUCUCACUGGUCUUUUCUCGCCAAAAGAGAGAGCUUUUUUUUUCCUGCUAUCUUGUGCAUCUGACUUGGACCAACAUUUGGUAUCAGAGCACGGUUGUUAUGGCUACCAACAAGGAGCGCAUCGAGAGCUUGGAAGCGGGACUCGGCGGCCUGCAAGACAGCUUCAGCCGCAUAGAGCUGGGACUAACCGAGCAAAUGCGAAUGCUGGAGGAAAACAUCAACAGACUCUCAGACUCGAUUGCCUCUGGCCACAAAGGGUCAAGCAACAAUCACCAGAGUCGACCCUGACUGCUUCGCCCAGACCGCGACGAAGGUGUAGAACGUGAAGAAGGUAGGCUACCGACCUUCCCACGAUUGACUCGGCUUGAGUUUCCUCAUUUAGCGGUGGUGACCCCACCGAAUGGCUUAAUUGAGUGGGACAUUUUUUCGACUUCCAGGCGACGGCUGAACACCACUGCGUCGCUCUGGCUGCCUUCCAUCUUGAAGGAGUAGCCAACUGCUGGAGGCAGUAGCUCAGCAAAAGGAAGAGGGCCGGAUCGUGGAUUGGGUCAAUUUUGAAGACGAGUUGUGGGUCUGUUUUGGGCCAACUAAGUUCGAAGACUGUGAUGAGGCCCUGACCUGCAUCAAACAGAUUGGGCCUUUAAGGGAUUAUCAAGAGGUUAGGCAAUUGGGUCAAGAGAUGGACCCAAAAGGCCUUGUUGGGGGGCUUUUAUUGGCAGGCUCGAGCCUGAGCAUGCUGACGGAAUCAGGAUGUUCCGGCCCAGAAGCCUUAAGGAUGCUAUCGGCCUGGCCCGCGUGAAGACCAGGUGGAGCGCAAGAAAAGGAUGAACCAACCCAGACGGCUCGUGACCGGUUCGUCUGCAAACCCCAUAGUCUCCAACACACCGACCGGGUGCACUCAGCAAACCCUAGCCGCCUCGAACACAGUAAAACGCAUCUCCUGGGACGAGAUGCAGCGGUGGCGAGAGCAAGGAUUGUGCUUCAACUGCGAUGAGCGGUUCUCUGCGGGCCAUCGAUGCCGCAAAGCGCAGCUCUUACUCCUCAAAUGAGGUAGUGUCAGGGAAGAAGAAAUCGACGAAGAAGACCCAGAAAUCUCUCUCCAUGCCUUCACCGGGUGGUCCACAACUCGAACUAUGAAAGUACCAGCUUCCAUUCGAUGACAGAAAAUUAUCGCCCUCAUUGACAAUGGGUCUGCCCACAAUUUUAUCAGUGACCAAAUCACAGGCUGAUUGUAGCUUUUUAUAAUUCCAAUGACUGCAUUUUCAGUCUAGGUGGCCAACGGGGAUCCGAUGAAAUGCUUCAGCCGCUUCAAGCACGUGUCGAUCUCCCUUCAAGGGCAUCCCGUUCUCCCUAACUUUUUACUCAUUACCACUGAUCGGGCUUGAUGUUGUUUUAGGAGUUCAGUGGCUUGAAUCAUCGAGGAUGGUUGUUUGUGAUUAGAGGAGAAUGACGAUGGAAUUUCUUUAAAUGAGUCAGUCGCGGCGAUUGUGUGGCCUGGACACCCCGCCACUCCUGGUGGCUUCCCUAGAGGAACUUAGCAUAUGUCGUCUGUUUUAUGACAGAACACCAGGUUCCCUCUCCAGUUGAACAGCCCGAGCUACAGCAGCUAAUUGACCAGUUUUCUGAUCUGUUUGAAAAACCCAAGCAACUUCCUCCUCAAAGAGACGUUGAACAUCAAAUCUCCGUCAAAGAUGGCACUGAACUAGUCAAUGUACGCCUAUAUCACUAUGCACAUUUUCAUAAAUCUGAAAUUAAAAGACAAGUGUUUGAUAUGCUCAAGAGUGGCCUCAUUCAGCCAAGUACAAGUCCAUUCUCAUCGCUGGUGCUGUUAGUUCGUAAGAAGGAUGGAACUUGGCGAUUUUGUACUGAUUACCGAGCCCUCAACGCGGUGACCAUCAAGGACUAUUUUCUUAUUCCGACAAUGGAAGAUAUGUUGGAUGAGCUACAUGGGACCGUAUACUUCACCAAAUUGGACCUCACUGCCGGGUAUCAUCAAGUCAGGGUCCACCCUACAGACAUAACCAAGAUCGCGUUCAGAACCCACAACGGCCAUUAUGAGUAUCUAGUAAUGUCUUUUGGUCUAUAUAAUUCACCAUCUAUUUUUCAAGUUAUUAUACCUCCUGAGGUUUGUUCUGGUUUUCUUUGAUGAUAUUCUAGUUUAUAGCAUCAGCUGGGAAUUGCACCUCGCACAUGUCAAAACAGUUUUUGGGGUCCUCAAACAUCAUCAGUUUUUUGUGAAGUUCAAGAAGUGCACAUUCGGGUGUCAAGAGCUAAAACACUUGGGCCACAUCAUUACCUCAAAAGGUGUCAAAGUAGACCAAUGGAAAAUUCAAGCCAUGUGGGCAUGGCCAAGACCUACUACUCACAAAGUUCCAAGGUUUUCUGGGACUCACAGGGUAUUAUCGUAAAUUGUACAGAACUAUGGAAUAGUGGCUGUCUCUCACCAACUUAUUAAAAAAGGGUCCUUCCAGUGGAACACAGAGGUAGAAACUGCUUUCACUAAACUAAAGCAGGCCAUGACCACCACCUCUAAUCUGGCACUCUCUAACUUCAAUGAAGCCUUUACCAUCGAAACUGAUGCAUCUGGAGAAGGAAUUGGGGCAGUCCCCACCAACAGGGCAAGCCCAUUGCAUAUAUAAGUCGUGUUUUGGGAGCAUCCAAGUUAUCAUGGUCCACCUAUGCCAAAGAGUUACUGGCCAUUGUCAUCGCCAUUCAAACUUAGAGACGGUAUCUACUAGGGUGCAAUUUUUUUAUCAAAACUGAUCAAUGCAACUUGAAGUACUUGAUGGACCAACGGAUCACUGCCCCGGAAUAGCAAAAAUGGGUCUCUAAGUUAUUCGGUUAUGAUUAUGAGAUACUGUAUAAACCAAGCAAAGAAAACCAAACGGCGUAUGCCUUAUCCCAACAAUUCCAUAAUCCUACAAUGCAUACUCUCUUUACUGUCAGCACAACUCAAUGGGACUAGAUCAUAAAGGAGUCCGAAAAAACCCUUAUGUCUAAAAAAUUGUAAAGAAAGCAAAAGAAUAACCCAGUCAACCAUAUCUAGAGAAAAAUGGACUGGUCUACUACAAACACCGAGUUAUUGUCCCUCCUACAUCUAGUAUAGUCCGGCAGUUUCUACAAGUCUAUCAUGAUUCUCCUAUGGUUGGCCACUCUGGUAUUCUCCAUACCUAUAAAUGGCUAGUGCUGCAAUUCUAUUGGCCUUCCAUGAGAUAGAUCAUUCAAGACUAUGUAGCAGCAUGUGAGACCUUUCAAUGAUCUAAGUCCGAAACUUUGUUUCCAGCAGAGCUCCUACAACCUUUACCGGUUUCGUGUCAAGUAUGGGAUGACAUUACCAUGGAUUUCAUUUAAGGUCUUUCACCUUCCAAGGGCAAGAACAAUAUUUUGGUAGUUGUCGACUGGCUUAACAAAUUCAUUCAUUUCUUGGCAUUGAGUCACCUAUACACCGUCAAAAUGGUAGCAGAAAAAAUCAGUGAGAAUAUAGUCGAGCUCCAAGGCAUGCCUCAAGUGAUUGGGACCCUAUUUUCAUUAGUCAUUUUUUGCAAAAAAAUUUUAAACUUUGAGGAACCAAACUAAAGAUGAACUUGGCCUACCACUCUCAAAUCGAUGGUAAAUCAAAGUAGUCAACUGAUGUGUCAGAACAGUACCUCUGAUGCCUUGCACAUCAGUGGCCCAAUAAAUGAUGUUCCUUCCUUCCAUGGGCGGAAUAUUGGUAAAACACCACCUACCACUCAUCCAUUGGAAUGACGCCCUUUUAGGCACUACAUGGGCAGCCACCACCCACCAUCUCUCACUAUAUGGAAGGCAUGACGGCUGUGAAUGAGGUAGACCAACAGUCAACUGCACGGGAUGAGCUCCUUAACCAGCUCAAGAAUCACUUACAAGCAGCACAGAAUCGCAUGAAACAAUCAGCAGAUAACCAUCGUCGCCAUGUGGAGUUGCAAGUCGGUGAUUGGGUUUUCUUACACCUUCAACCUUACUGAUAAUAGACCGUAUUUAAGAGGGCUAUCCAAAAACUGGCUUGCCGAUUCUUUGGGCCAUUUCAGAUCGAAGCACAAAUUAGGCCAGUGGCAUACCGCCUCAAGUUACCUCCCUCUUCCCGCAUCCAUCCAGUGUUCCACGUCUCCCUUCUCAAAAAACAAGUCGGAGACGACACAAUCCCCAUCAAAGAGCUACCGUCAUCUUGCAACUCGAAGAAAUUCUGGAUAUCCGUUGGCUCAAAAAAGGGACACAAGUAGUGGAAGAAAGCCUAGUCAAAUGGAAGCACCUUCCCGUAGAUGAUGCAACUUGGGAAAAUACAGACGAAUUACGAGACCGCUUCCUUAACUUAAACCUUCAGGACAAGGUUCAUUUUCAGAGCAGGAGUGAUGAUAAAACCCCAUCCAGAAGAUCUAGCCGGGUGCCCAUCAUGAAUCCUAAGUAUCUCCAGUAAUUGCCACUACCAGCAAAAGAAGCGGUCAACAAAAAAUCAUCAGUGAAUCCCACGACUCCACGAUCUGCUCUUCCACAAACCCCAGUAUCUCUUUUCUUUUAUCUCUUUGAAUUUCUGAUAAUUAUCUAGAAGCAUAAAAGUAGGAAAUGCAGUUGUAAUCUUUUUCUAUUUAAGCACUUUAAAAUCAUGAAUAAAGAUAUAGACAUUUGCAGAAUUCUCACUGGUCUUUUCUUACCAAAAGAGAGAGCUUUCUUUACUGUUAUCUUGUGCAUCUGACUGGGACCAACAAGUUACAUGUUAUGCUUGCUUACAUCAGUGCUUCAUAAAAAGAUGUGAUUUCAGAAAUGCAAUACGAUGGUGAUCUUCACGAACCUUUUUUUACCUGUUAAUUUCUCUAAUCAUUUGAAGUUAUGCAGUGGACAAAGCAGACCCCACAAAGAAACGUAGAGUAGAAAGAUCCAGAAAGUAUG
rnacentral:lncRNA from 1 species